CUGAGAGGAUGACCAGCCACACUGGAACUGAGACACGGUCCAGACUCCUACGGGAGGCAGCAGUGGGGAAUAUUGCACAAUGGGCGCAAGCCUGAUGCAGCCAUGCCGCGUGUAUGAAGAAGGCCUUCGGGUUGUAAAGUACUUUCAGCGGGGAGGAAGGGAGUAAAGUUAAUACCUUUGCUCAUUGACGUUACCCGCAGAAGAAGCACCGGCUAACUCCGUGCCAGCAGCCGCGGUAAUACGGAGGGUGCAAGCGUUAAUCGGAAUUACUGGGCGUAAAGCGCACGCAGGCGGUUUGUUAAGUCAGAUGUGAAAUCCCCGGGCUCAACCUGGGAACUGCAUCUGAUACUGGCAAGCUUGAGUCUCGUAGAGGGGGGUAGAAUUCCAGGUGUAGCGGUGAAAUGCGUAGAGAUCUGGAGGAAUACCGGUGGCGAAGGCGGCCCCCUGGACGAAGACUGACGCUCAGGUG
rnacentral:rRNA from 1 species